rnacentral:rRNA from 1 species
AGAGUUUGAUCCUGGCUCAGGAUGAACGCUAGCUACAGGCUUAACACAUGCAAGUCGAGGGGCAGCAUGGUCUUAGCUUGCUAAGGCCGAUGGCGACCGGCGCACGGGUGAGUAACACGUAUCCAACCUGCCGUCUACUCUUGGACAGCCUUCUGAAAGGAAGAUUAAUACAAGAUGGCAUCAUGAGUCCGCAUGUUCACAUGAUUAAAGGUAUUCCGGUAGACGAUGGGGAUGCGUUCCAUUAGAUAGUAGGCGGGGUAACGGCCCACCUAGUCUUCGAUGGAUAGGGGUUCUGAGAGGAAGGUCCCCCACAUUGGAACUGAGACACGGUCCAAACUCCUACGGGAGGCAGCAGUGAGGAAUAUUGGUCAAUGGGCGAGAGCCUGAACCAGCCAAGUAGCGUGAAGGAUGACUGCCCUAUGGGUUGUAAACUUCUUUUAUAAAGGAAUAAAGUCGGGUAUGCAUACCCGUUUGCAUGUACUUUAUGAAUAAGGAUCGGCUAACUCCGUGCCAGCAGCCGCGGUAAUACGGAGGAUCCGAGCGUUAUCCGGAUUUAUUGGGUUUAAAGGGAGCGUAGAUGGAUGUUUAAGUCAGUUGUGAAAGUUUGCGGCUCAACCGUAAAAUUGCAGUUGAUACUGGAUAUCUUGAGUGCAGUUGAGGCAGGCGGAAUUCGUGGUGUAGCGGUGAAAUGCUUAGAUAUCACGAAGAACUCCGAUUGCGAAGGCAGCCUGCUAAGCUGCAACUGACAUUGAGGCUCGAAAGUGUGGGUAUCAAACAGGAUUAGAUACCCUGGUAGUCCACACGGUAAACGAUGAAUACUCGCUGUUUGCGAUAUACGGCAAGCGGCCAAGCGAAAGCGUUAAGUAUUCCACCUGGGGAGUACGCCGGCAACGGUGAAACUCAAAGGAAUUGACGGGGGCCCGCACAAGCGGAGGAACAUGUGGUUUAAUUCGAUGAUACGCGAGGAACCUUACCCGGGCUUGAAUUGCACUCGAAUAUAGCGGAAACGUUAUAGCUAGCAAUAGCGAGUGUGAAGGUGCUGCAUGGUUGUCGUCAGCUCGUGCCGUGAGGUGUCGGCUUAAGUGCCAUAACGAGCGCAACCCUUGUCUAUAGUUACUAACAGGUGAUGCUGAGGACUCUAUGGAGACUGCCAUCGUAAGAUGUGAGGAAGGUGGGGAUGACGUCAAAUCAGCACGGCCCUUACGUCCGGGGCCACACACGUGUUACAAUGGGGGGUACAGAGGGCCGCUACCACGCAAGUGGAUGCCAAUCCCGAAAGCCUCUCUCAGUUCGGACUGGAGUCUGCAACCCGACUCCACGAAGCUGGAUUCGCUAGUAAUCGCGCAUCAGCCAUGGCGCGGUGAAUACGUUCCCGGGCCUUGCACACACCGCCCGUCA